rnacentral:rRNA from 1 species
GCCUACGGGGCGCAGCAGUGGGGAAUAUUGCACAAUGGGGGAAACCCUGAUGCAGCGACGCCGCGUGAGCGAAGAAGUAUUUCGGUAUGUAAAGCUCUAUCAGCAGGGAAGAAAAAUGACGGUACCUGAGUAAGAAGCACCGGCUAAAUACGUGCCAGCAGCCGCGGUAAUACGGAGGAUGCGAGCGUUAUCCGGAUUUAUUGGGUUUAAAGGGUGCGCAGGCGGAGGUGCAAGUCAGCGGUCAAAUUGCGGGGCUCAACCCCGUACUGCCGGUGAAACUGCAUCCCUUGAGUGCGCGAGAAGUA